rnacentral:rRNA from 1 species
UCCUACGGGAGGCAGCAGUGGGGAAUAUUGGACAAUGGGCGCAAGCCUGAUCCAGCCAUGCCGCGUGAGUGAAGAAGGCCCUAGGGUUGUAAAGCUCUUUCACCCGCGAAGAUGAUGACGGUAGCGGGAGAAGAAGCCCCGGCUAACUCCGUGCCAGCAGCCGCGGUAAUACGGAGGGGGCUAGCGUUGUUCGGAUUUACUGGGCGUAAAGGGCGCGUAGGCGGAUGUUCGCGUCAGAGGUGAAAGCCCCGGGCUCAACCUGGGAACUGCCUUUGAAGCGGGACAUCUUGAGUUCGGGAGAGGGUAGCGGAAUUCCCAGUGUAGAGGUGAAAUUCGUAGAUAUUGGGAAGAACACCGGUGGCGAAGGCGGCUACCUGGCCCGAUACUGACGCUGAGGCGCGAAAGCGUGGGGAGCAAACAGGAUUAGAUACCCUGGUAGUCCACGCCGUAAACGAUGUGCGCUAGCCGUCGGGGUGCUUGGCACUUCGGUGGCGCAGUUAACGCAUUAAGCGCACCGCCUGGGGACUACGGCCGCAAGGCUGAAACUCAAAGGAAUUGACGG